CCUACGGGUGGCAGCAGUGAGGAAUAUUGGUCAAUGGCCGGAAGGCUGAACCAGCCAAGCCGCGUGAAGGACGAAGGUGCCAAGCAUUGUAAACUUCUUUUGUCAAGGGACAAAAUCAGGCUCGAGAGCCUGACCGAGUGUACUUGAAGACAAAACAUCGGCUAACUCCGUGCCAGCAGCCGCGGUAAUACGGAGGAUGCGAGCGUUAUCCGGAUUUAUUGGGUUUAUAGGGUGCGUAGCCGGGCUGUUAAGUCAGCGGGAAAACCCCGGGGCGCAACCCCGGCGAGCAGUUGAAACUGGCUGUCUGUAGAUGUCGAGGGGGAUGCGGAAUGCGCAGUGGAGCGGGGAAAUGCUUAGAUAUG
rnacentral:rRNA from 1 species